UACAGAGGUCCCGAGCGUUGUUCGGAUUCACUGGGCGUAAAGGGUGCGUAGGCGGCGGAGUAAGUUGGGUGUGAAAUCCCGGGGCUCAACCUCGGAAUUGCAUUCAAUACUGCUUCGCUAGAGUACUGGAGAGGAGGCUGGAAUUUACGGUGUAGCAGUGAAAUGCGUAGAUAUCGUAAGGAAGGCCGGUGGCGAAAGCGAGCCUCUGGACAGUUACUGACGCUGAUGCACGAAGGCCAGGGGAGCAAACGGG
rnacentral:rRNA from 1 species